rnacentral:lncRNA from 1 species
GGUGAUUGUGACUGUUCCCCCACCUCUGUGGGCACAAGAGUGUGCUGUCAUGGUGCAGAGGUAUGAGGGCAGAGGAACUUGGGGGAACCAUUCCAGGAGCAAUAAAUCCUGUCAUUGCCUCAACGUUUCUAGGAAUUAGCUGAUGAUCCUGGAAUUUGGUUUCAUUUCCAGUGGUGUUACUGUGAUAUCAAGUAGUGAAAGAGUAGAGGGAAGCUGGCAGCGUUGAGUUUGGGCUCAGACAAACUUGGUUCCCAGUCCUAACUGUCCUCCUUACUAUCUAAAGAACUUGGCAAUUGGGUUAACCUUUCCAAAUCCUCAAUUAAUUCACCUAUAAAGCACCUAUGAGUUUUAUGAGGAUUAAAUGAGAUAAUGAAAAUAUGGUACUUGGGAAAAUGUCUAGUCAAUGGAAAAAGUACAAUGGGUGCUAUUAUUAAAUUUUAGGAUCCAAAAACAAACUUCAGAAGUAACUAUGAGGCUACUUUUUAACAAUCACUUCUGAGCAAAUCCCUUUUGGCUAGAGAAGCAUUAUUAAUUUUAUAAAGCUCCAUAUUAGUUUAUAAGCCUCAAUGGGCUGAAUUUGGAUCCCUUUAAAAUUGAACGCAAAAGGCUCUUUGCUAGCGUCCUCUGACAAAAUAAUACACAGAGAGGCUUAUAUUUAGGGAGACGGAGCUGCACCCUUCGCCUGAGGCCACAGGUGCACAACACAUUCUAGGGCGUCAUUCUCUUUAGUGAGCUUCGGGUGUUGUCUUCUAUUGACAGUUUACUGGCCCAGAAUCCCAGAGAAGAAACACUCUGACUUCAGCAUCACAGAUCUCAACAGAGUUCACGUUCCUGGUUGGUGAUUUGCUGCAGUCUUUACCCUGUGAUGAAUCCAAAGUACUCAAUGCCAGAUGAGUGUAUGUUCUCCCAGCUCAAAAGUGGAGAUGAGACAACUGUCCAGUUUACACAGGAUUAACCCCUGCUACACCAGUGACCACAUGGAGGCUGCUCAGAUUGUAGUCUGAACAAGACGCCCAAAUGAGACAGCGGGUAGGACUCGUUUCUUGUUUGUUUUGCUUUUAAGGUCUAUUCGUGUAUUUUGAAAGUCAGAGGGGGAGACACACAGAGAGAGAUUUUCCAUCUACUGGUUCACUCCCCCAGGAGGCUGCAAUA